rnacentral:rRNA from 1 species
CUUGCUCUGUGUGGCGAGUGGCGAACGGGUGAGUAAUAUAUCGGAACGUACCCUAGAGUGGGGGAUAACGUACCGAAAGUUACGCUAAUACCGCAUACGAUCUAAGGAUGAAAGUGGGGGAUCGCAAGACCUCAUGCUCGUGGAGCGGCCGAUAUCUGAUUAGCUAGUUGGUAGGGUAAAAGCCUACCAAGGCAUCGAUCAUUAGCUGGUCUGAGAGGACGACCACCCACACUGGAACUGAGACACGGUCCAGACUCCUACGGGAGGCAGCAGUGGGGAAUUUUGGACAAUGGGCGAAAGCCUGAUCCAGCAAUGCCGCGUGAGUGAAGAAGGCCUUCGGGUUGUAAAGCUCUUUUGUCAGGGAAAAAACGGUGACAGCUAAUAUCUCUUGCUAAUGACGGUACCUGAAGAAUAAGCACCGGCUAACUACGUGCCAGCAGCCGCGGUAAUACGUAGGGUGCAAGCGUUAAUCGGAAUUACUGGGCGUAUAGCGUGCGCAGGCGGUUUUGUAAGUCUGAUGUGAAAUCCCCGGGCUCAACCUGUGAAUUGCAUUGGAGACUGCAAGGCUAGAAUCUGGCAGAGGGGGGUAGAAUUCCACGUGUAGCAGUGAAAUGCGUAUAUAUGUGGAGGAACACCGAUGGCGAAGGCAGCCCCCUGGGUCUAGAUUGACGCUCAUGCACGAAAGCGUGGGGAGCAAACAGAGAUUAGAUACCCUGGUAGUCCACGCCCUAAACGAUGUCUACUAUUUGUCGGGUCUUAAUUGACUUGAUAACGCAGCUA